UCGCAUAAGACACAAUUUUCA
rnacentral:piRNA from 1 species